GAUGAACGCUGGCGGCGUGCCUAACACAUGCAAGUCGAACGAGAGAUGAGGAGCUUGCUCUUCAGAUCGAGUGGCGAACGGGUGAGUAACGCGUGAGGAACCUGCCUCAAAGAGGGGGACAACAGUUGGAAACGACUGCUAAUACCGCAUAAGCCCACGGCUCGGCAUCGAGCAGGGGGAAAAGGAGCAAUCCGCUUUGAGAUGGCCUCGCGUCCGAUUAGCUAGUUGGUGAGGUAACGGCCCACCAAGGCGACGAUCGGUAGCCGGACUGAGAGGUUGAACGGCCACAUUGGGACUGAGACACGGCCCAGACUCCUACGGGAGGCAGCAGUGGGGAAUAUUGCACAAUGGGCGCAAGCCUGAUGCAGCAACGCCGCGUGGAGGAAGACGGUUUUCGGAUUGUAAACUCCUGUUCUUAGUGAAGAAUAAUGACGGUAGCUAAGGAGCAAGCCACGGCUAACUACGUG
rnacentral:rRNA from 1 species